rnacentral:tRNA from 1 species
GCCUGAGUGGCUCAGUUGGUUGAGCGUCUGACUUCAGCUCAGGUCAUGAUCUCACGGUUUGUGGGUUCAAGCCCCACAUCGGGCU